CCUACGGGAGGCAGCAGUGGGGAAUAUUGGACAAUGGGCGCAAGCCUGAUCCAGCCAUGCCGCGUGUGUGAAGAAGGUCUUAGGAUUGUAAAGCACUUUAAGCAGGGAGGAAGAUCUGUUGGUUAAUACCUGACAGUUUUGACGUUACCUGCAGAAUAAGCACCGGCUAACUCUGUGCCAGCAGCCGCGGUAAU
rnacentral:rRNA from 1 species